CCUACAUCGAGUAUCAAAAUCUAUAUAAUUUGUAGUAUAAUACUGCUAGAUUUGUAGAUAACAUAUCAUACUUUUAUACUAACUAUGAUUUCUACCAAUUUACUAGGGUGAAGAAUUACCAUUUAUUAUUCUUUCCUUAUUAAUAUGCUUAUAUUAGUCAAUGACAUAUGUUUCAUAUUCAGUUAAACAAUAAUAUUGUAAC
rnacentral:lncRNA from 1 species